GUGGGGAAUCUUGCGCAAUGGGCGAAAGCCUGACGCAGCCAUGCCGCGUGAAUGAUGAAGGUCUUAGGAUUGUAAAAUUCUUUCACCGGGGACGAUAAUGACGGUACCCGGAGAAGAAGCCCCGGCUAACUUCGUGCCAGCAGCCGCGGUAAUACGAAGGGGGCUAGCGUUGCUCGGAAUUACUGGGCGUACAGGGCGCGUAGGCGGACAGUUUAGUCAGAGGUGAAAGCCCAGGGCUCAACCGUGGAAUUGCCGUUGAUACUGGCUGUCUUGAGUACGGGAGAGGUGAGUGGAACUCCGAGUGUAGAGGUGAAAUUCGUAGAUAUUCGGAAGAACACCAGUGGCGAAGGCGACUCACUGGCCCAAUACUGACGCUGAGGCGCGAAAGCGUGGGGAGCAAACAGGAUUAGAUACCCCAGUAGUCC
rnacentral:rRNA from 1 species